rnacentral:rRNA from 1 species
GGGUGAGUAAUGCUUGGGAAUCUAGCUUAUGGAGGGGGGUAACGUACGGGAAACUGUAGCUAAUACCGCGUAGAAUCGAGAGAUGAAAGUGUGGGACCUUCGGGCCACAUGCCAUAGGAUGAGCCCAAGUGGGAUUAGGUAGUUGGUGAGGUAAAGGCUCACCAAGCCGACGAUCUCUAGCUGGUCUGAGAGGAUGACCAGCCACACUGGGACUGAGACACGGCCCAG